UACGUAGGGGGCAAGCGUUGUCCGGAAUUAUUGGGCGUAAAGGGUGCGUAGGCGGCCUUUCAAGUUGGAUGUGAAAUCCCCGUGCUUAACAUGGGAAUUGCAUUCAAAACUGGAGGGCUUGAGUGUGGAAGAGGUAAGUGGAAUUCCCAGUGUAGCGGUGAAAUGCGUAGAUAUUGGGAGGAACACCAGUGGCGAAGGCGACUUACUGGGCCACAACUGACGCUGAUGCACGAAAGCGUGGGGAGCAAACAGGAUUAGAUACCCUGGUAGUCCACGCUGUAAACUAUGGAUACUAGGUGUAGGGGGUAACACCCCCCCUGUGCCGCAGCUAACGCAAUAAGUAUCCCGCCUGGGGAGUACGGUCGCAAGAUUGAA
rnacentral:rRNA from 1 species